AUCAUGCCGCGUGCAGGAAGAAGGUCCUCUGGAUUGUAAACUGCUUUUGUACGGGAGAAAACCCCUUUACGUGUAGAGGGCUGAUAGUACCGUAAGAAUAAGCAUCGGCUAACUUCGUGCCAGCAGCCGCGGUAAGACGAAGGAUGCAAGCGUUAUCCGGAUUCAUUGGGUUUAAAGGGUGCGUAGGCGGACGCAUAAGUCAGUGGUGAAAUCUCCAGGCUUAACUUGGAAACUGCCAUUGAUACUGUGUGUCUUGAGUACAGAUGAUGUUGGCGGAAUAUGACAUGUAGCGGUGAAAUGCAUAGAUAUGUCAUAGAACACCGAUUGCGAAGGCAGCUGACAAAACUGUAACUGACGCUGAGGCACGAAAGUGCGGGGAUCAAACAGGAUUAGAUACCCUGGUAGUCCGCACCGUAAACUAUGAUUACUCGCUGUGUGCGAUAUACAGUACGCGGCUAAGCGAAAGCGUUAAGUAAUCCACCUGGGGAGUACGCCGGCAACGGUGAAACUCAAAGGAAUUGACGGGGGCCCGCACAAGCGGAGGAGCAUGUGGUUUAAUUCGAUGGUACGCGAGGAACCUUACCAGGGCUUGAAAGUUAGGGAAUGAUUCUGAAAGGAGUCUGUCAGG
rnacentral:rRNA from 1 species